UAUUUGCAAAUCAUUUAUCUGAUUAAUAUCUGGAAUAUAUAAAGAACUUCAACUCAACAACAAGAAAACAACCCAAUCUAAAAACUGGCAAAGCAUUUGAAUAGGCAUUUCUCCAAAGAAAAUGUAUACGUGGCCAAUGAGCACAUUGAAAAGAUGCUCAACAUAAUUUGUCAUUAGGGAAAUGCAAAUCAAAACUACCUCACAUCUGCUAAGAUGGUUGUCAUAAAAAAAAAAAAAACUGAAAAGUAUUGGCAACAAUGUGGAGUAAUUGAAAUCUUUGUACAAUGCUGGUGGGAAUGUAAAAUGGUGCAACUGCUGGGGAAGACAGUUUGGCAGUUCCUCAGAAGGAAUAUGACCCAUAUGACCCAGCAAUCCCACUUCUAGCUGUAUACCCAAAAGAUUUUAAAUCGGGCACUAGAACAGAUACCUGUACAUGAAUGUUCAUAGCAGCCUUAUUCACAAUAGGCAAGAGGUAGAAACUCAGGUGUCCGUGGACAGAUGAGUGGAUGAACAAGAUGUGGUCUGUGCGUGCGGUGGAAUUUAUUCAGCCCUAAAAGGACCAAAGUCCUGAUACAUGCAGCUUCGUGGAUGAACCUUGAAGACAUCAUGUUGAGUGAAAUAAGCCAGACACUAAAGGACAGAUACUAUAAUUCCACGUAUAUGAAAUAUCUAGAAAAAGCAAAUUAAUAGAGACAGAAAGUGGGCCAGAGGCUCCCAGUACUUGGGUGGAAGGGAGAAGGGGGAGUUACUGCUCAGUGGGUAUCGAGUUUGCAUUGGGGUGAUGAGAGUGGAACUUGAUAGUGGUGAUUGCACAGCAUUGUGAAUGUAAUUAAUGCCACCAGACAGUGGUGAAAAUGGCAGAUCUUAUGUAUAUUCGCCUCAUUUUUUGUUUUUUCCCCAAAAAAGGAGGGAGUACUCAACAGUGGCACCCAAGAGGGGUUAGCUGCUGUGGAAAUUGUCCUCCUGCCUUACAGUUUAGAAACCAGGGAAAUUUUUUAAGCACCAUUUUCAGACACCAGGAAAGAGGCAGCUUCCAGCCUGUGGCACAGGCAGGGGAAAGCCAAACCCAGAGCAGCAGUCCCACUAGUCAAGGCAACGGAGAUUGGUGUUGGGAGAGAACGAGGUGGCUGGAAUCUGUGGGCAGAGCUCCAGAAAGGAUGAGCUGCACACAGUUCCCGAGAUCUGCAGAAAGGAGCCUCAAAUCUUCAUCAGAGCACUGCUCUGUGCAGGGGUGGGACACAAACCCCUAAGUCCAGGCAAAGAAUCACUGGGAAGCAGUAGGGCUGGGAAGCACCAGUCAGGGUGGAGAGGCUCCUCAAGGCGUCUUCUAGGCGAUGCCUUGUCCCGAGGACCAUGGGGUUCUGGGCCCCCUGCCACACUAGGCCAUGCCCCAGCGACCUCUCCUGCCCCCCUCCCACCUUCUCUCUGGGCUCCAGUGGCCUUCAGCUCUGGAGGCUCUCUGCCACCUACCCUAGAAGGCCUUCAGUGACAGGAUUAAAAAGAGCCACUCUGGCCACGCCUUAUCUGAUGAAACGUCAUCAAAAGGCCCUGUUCAUACACAGGAAUGGAUUAAGUUUAAGAACACGUCUUUCAGGGCACAUAGCUCCAGCCACAAUGCAAGGCAGCCAAGCCAACUGUGUUCCGAAGGAUGGCAAGCCCUUCAAGGGCAGGCAAAGCCCAGGACCCGGAGGUGACAGCCAGAAAAACGAGAAAGAAGAAAACACCUGAAAUGUUGACGGAUCGGUAAAGGCUGCCUGUGAGCGACCCCCAUGGCCAGGCACACGGGGAGCUGCUCUCCUCAGCUGUCCCUGUGGCCUCCAAAGCCUGCCAUGAGAAAAACUGGGAGCAGGGAGAAACCUGCCUGUCUGCAGAGAGCCAAAGCACCUGGCCCUGGAGCUGGAGGAGAGGCCCAGGCGAGGGCCAUGGCUGGCAAAGGGGAAGCACUGAAGGCGCCGGGCAGCAGCAGGAGUGGGCAGCAACAGGUCUCCCACUGGGAGAAGUGGGCACAUGUGGACACCCCUGGCUCCCCAGGCCGCUGCGGGAGGGAGCUGCAUUGGAACAGAACCCAAACCCAGCUCCAUCCCUGCUGGAUGGAGGUGACCACGGCCCCCCAGCUGGCGGAAGAGGAGUGCCAUGCACAGGUGAAAGGGUGGCCCCUGCCACACGAGUCUCCAAAGAGGCCACGUGAAGUGUGCCAGACCAGAAAAGGGGCGUAUUUCCGUAAAACGCGGCGAGACGCACACUCAUCUAGUGCCAGGAAGCAGCUCAGUGGCUGCAUGUACAAGUUCUUCUUAGAGAAGCUGUAGGUUCACAGAGAAAGCAUGCAUAAGAUACCGAGUUCCCAUCUACCUCCUGUUCUAAACACCUUGCAUUUGUGUGGUGCAUUUGUUACAAUUGAUGAAAGUGUUAUUAUAAUUGUGCUGGUUAUUACCUAAACUCUGGUUCACAUUUGAGUUUCCUGUUUCUGUACAGGCCUAUGGGUUUUUUUAAAAAAUUUUAUUCUAGUAACAUAUAUACAACCUAAAAUUCCCCUUUUAACCACAUUCAAAUAUAUAGUUCAGUGAUUCAGUGCUGUGAAGUACGCUCACAACGCUGUGCCCCCACCCAUGUACCAAAACUUCCCACCACCCCAAAUAGCAGCUCUGUGCAACUGAAGCAUUGACUACCCCCAGCCCAGCCCCUGGUGACUGUAGUCUAGUUUCUGACUCUGAAUUUGCUUUAUAUAUUUGAGACACAAGUCUUGGGUCAGCUAUGUGUGUUUUGAAUAUUUACUCCCAGUCUAGGCUUUCACCUUUUCACUUUCCCAACAAUGGUUUUUGAAGAACAGAUUGUUUUACUUUUGACAAAGCCCAAUUAAUUGAUUAUUUAUGAUGUAUGCAUUUUUUGUUCUACUUAAAGAAUCAUUAUGUAUCCUCAAGUUCACAAACAUUUUACAGUUCUAAUUUGUAUGUUUGGGUGUAUGGUGUGAGGUAUGGCUUGAGACCCAGUUUUUCCCCACAGUGAUCUCUAGUUGUCCUGGCAACACUUUUUGAAAGGCUCCUCUCCCCACUGAUGUGCUUUGGUGCUUUGCUGACAGUGGAAUAAAUGUGGGUCUGUUUCUGGGCUCUCUGGUUCUAUAAUCUGUUUAUCCUUAUGCUCAUACAAUAGUUUUGAUUAGUCAGGUUUAUAGUUCAGGCCCGAAAUCAAAUAUUGUAAAUCCUCCAGUUUUGUUUUAUCAGGAUUUUCUUGACUAUUCUAGACCCUUUGAAUUUCCAUUUAAUUUUUAAAUCAGCUUGUUAUUGUUUAUAAGCCUUCUGGGGUUUUGACUGAGACUAUAUCAAAUUUAUAGCUCAGUUCAGGGAGAAAUGACAUCCUGAAGCUACUGUGUUCCCAGAUGUGAAUGAAGUAUCUCUUUGUGUAUUUGUCUGUUCCUUCCUUUCUCUCAGCAACAUUGUGGUGUUUUUAUUGUAGAGGUUUUUGCAUGUUUUUGAUAAAUUUCUAAGCAUUCUGUUUUUGACAUUGUUGUAAAUAGGAUUCAUUUUUAAAGUUUCCUUUUUCAGUUAAUUGCUACAAAUAGAAAUACCAUGGAUUUUUCGUCUGUUGACUUUGUAUCCUCAGACUCAUUAACUUAUUAACUUACGAGUUCUGGUCUUUUUUUUUUUAGAAAAAGAUUCCUUAGGAUUUUCCACAUAAACAAGCAGGUCAUCGGUGAAUAGGGACAGUUUUAUUGCCUCUCCCAGUCUCCCUCCUCCUUCCUGGCAUUGCCUCCCUGCCCUGGGCCGGGGGCUCUUCAUCGCCAAGUCGAAUGUUGACCGGGAGUUUUGGAAACACCCUUUGUCGGGUGGAGAACAUUUCCUUCUAUCCCUGGUUUGCUGAGUCUUUAUCGUGAAGGAGCACUGGACUGUCACAUUGCUCUCUGCUCCUGUCGCGAUGACCAUGGGUUUCUGCUGACCAUGGUGGCGCUCCCUUGUUGGCUCUUUCCCGUGCCAGGCUGAUCUGUAUUCCUCUCACGCAGAGCUGCUUGACCGCCAUGUCUUAACCUUUUUUAUGUCCCCGGGUUCAGUUUGCUAAGAUGUUGUUUCAAGUUUUUGAUCCGUGUUCACAAGAUUAACGGUCUGUCAUGUUGUUCCUCGCCUUGUCUUUCUCCCUCAGGUUUUGAUGCCAUCGAAUGAGCCGGCUCUGUGCGCACCUGUCGUCUACUCUCGCCCCCCCACCGUGGCCUCUCCAAGCAUCCCGUCUGGUCCCCAGAUGGGGACACUGCUGCAGGGUGGGAGACACCCACAGGGCAGAGCCCCCAGCUGCCUGGCAGUCGAUUUUCCUCCUGUACCUUCUGGAUGGCGGCCUGCACAGAGGUGUCCCCAGCUGCAGCCUGGAAGGGCAGAGACGGCAUCCCCUCCGUGAAAGGAGGAGGCCCAGUCGCGGAACCCCCACGUGCGGCAGAGCAGCAGAGUGGAGACGACGGCAGUCCAGCCCCUUCCAGCCGCACAGCAGGCAAGGGCUCCCCAGGUCCUGGCAGCCUGAUGGGGCCCCUGUCCCACCUCCCCCGCCAGCUGGAGCAGGUGUCCUUCAGGCGCUGGUGGAGCCUCUCCACUUCCUGAGCAGAACAUACCGUUCGAUUAAAAGACGCGACACCGGAAACGAGUGCUCUGGAAGCACAAGCAGAAAGGAGCCCCUCACUCGACGGCAGAUGCCCACUGCGAGGUCUGCUUUUGAAUUAAUCAUUGACCUGGGCGCUUCUCAACCUACGAUAGCUGCUCUAAAACUUCACCUAAAAUUUUACUUUCCCAUCAAAACCAUAAUUUCAGAUUUUACAUCAUAAAUUUGUAAGUCUGGCAGUUCCCACCUACUGGAAUUGUUCGGGGUCUGGACACAUUUGUGCCAGAGCGAGCGGGAGCCUGUGUGUGUGUACAGAUGCGUGUUUCACGUGAAGGAGAGCACGUGGUGGCACUGCCCUUCACUCCGCUUUUCCUUCUUGACAAUAAAUCGUAGCCCCCGGCAGCCAAGAUCCUCCCCGUUCCUUUUAACUGGGGCCUACACCCCAUUCUCAGUCCCAGAUUCUCUGACAGUUCCUGCCGACAGCACUGCAGCUGCUUCCAGGUCUCCCGUCACCCAGCGUGUGCGCCACACCUGCGCACACCCUCCUGGGCAUGGCAGCGCCGGGAAGACUUUUGAGACGGGGUUAAAAAAUGAUUGGAACUCAGGGACAGGAGCGGAUGCCAGCCCGGGCCCGGCCCACGGCCCCUCCACCUGGCACCGCCCAUCCGUGACGGCAUCCUCUGUGGGUCCACGGAGCCAUGUCUGCACCAGUCUGGGUGCAAACGAAUGAGAGGAGAGAAGGGAAGCCCCGGUCAUGGUGAUGAGUGUGGCCGCAGGCAGAGCAGGUAGGCAUUCUUCUACAGGGACCAGAAAGCAGAGGCAGAAGAAGGGUGAGGCAGCUCAAGACAUCACCAAGACAGGACAGGAAGCUCCAAAGACAUCCCCUAACCCCAAUGCCUGGAGAAACGGCACCCGACCAGCCGGAACUGUCAGAACUGACGUUUGCAGAACUCUGGGAGGCAAAGCCAAACAGCAGCCAAUUGAACGCUGAGUCAAGAAAAAGGCAACCACAAGUGGAGGAAAGCUGGGGGCACUUUUUCUUAUCCUAGGCCACCUCCGCCCUGGCUCAGUCGCGUUGCCCAGGGACGGUCCCUGGUCACGGAGGCGUGGCGCACACCUGCCGAGCAGAUGUCGGACGGACACAGCUCUCCCGCCCCAUCUGGCUGGGGAGGCAGCCAGCACUGCAGUGAAAACACUCGAGGAAGCUAGACCCACAGCUGCCUGCGCUGAGACACAGAACAGGGCUCUGGGACCCAGGAGGAGAUGCCAGGGACAGCUUCCCGGGAAAUUAGGGCAUCCAGGAGCACUUGGGCAUAAAGGGAAUUCUGAAAGCCACGUGCAAGGCCAGCACAAGGCACACGCUCGAGAAAGACUCGAGAAGACCCCAAGUGUCUGCCGUGGACUGACUGACAGGCUUGGGGAAGGGGGCUGUGUGGGGAAGGAGAGCCUC